rnacentral:rRNA from 1 species
AACGAACGCUGGCGGCAGGCUUAACACAUGCAAGUCGAACGGGCACCUUCGGUGUCAGUGGCAGACGGGUGAGUAACGCGUGGGAACGUACCCUUCGGUUCGGAAUAACCCAGGGAAACUUGGGCUAACACCGGAUACGUCCGCAAGGAGAAAGAUUUAUCGCCGAAGGAUCGGCCCGCGUCGGAUUAGCUAGUUGGUGGGGUAAUGGCCCACCAAGGCGACGAUCCGUAGCUGGUCUGAGAGGAUGANCAGCCACACUGGGACUGAGACACGGCCCAGACUCCUAC